rnacentral:lncRNA from 1 species
GAGCGACUAAGAGGAGGAAAAGCUAAGAUGGAGGCAGACGGACAGGAAGAAGAUCCCGAUCCCGCGUGGUUUUAAAUAGCCACAGGUAGUUAUGAAUAUCAUAUAGGGAUAGAAUAAUUGGGAAAACUUGUAUGAUCUAGGUGGGCAGCUUGUAUCAUUAUCAAUUGGCUCUGAAAUUAUUGUGUGGACCUCUUGUGAAUUGAGAUUUUUUUUUUGAUACAUAAAUCUAACCUGUUAAUUAUAAG